UAAAAAUUUAUGAUUUAAAAAUUUUAUUUUAAGUUUAAUUUACAUGUAAAUUUUUGUGUAAACUUUAUUGUAUUUUAAAAAUAUAAUGAUUAAUUUAAUAGUAAUUAAAAUUAAAAAUUUAAGAAAUUAAGAUUUAGAAAUUUUAUAAUAAAUAACAAAUUUUGUGCCAGCAGUUGCGGUUAUACAAAAAUUUAAAUAAAUUUUAUAAAUAAUAAUAAAUAUUUAAAAUUAAAUUAAAAAGAAAAUUAUUAAGUGAAAUUUUUAUUUUUAAAAAAUUUAUAAAAAAUAUGUGAAUUAAAAAAUUUUAUUUAUAAACUAGGAUUAGAUACCCUAUUAUAAAAAAUUAAUUUUUUAAUAUUAAAAUAGUAAAUGAUUUUAUAUUGAAACUUAAAUAAUUUGGCGGUAUUUUAGUUUAUUUAGAGGAAUCUGUCUAAUAAUUGAUAAUCCACGAAUAAUUAUAUUUAAUUUAAAAUUUUAUAUAUCGUUGUAAAAAAUAUUUUUUAAAAAUAAAUAAUAUUUAAAAAUUUUAAAUAAAAAUUAAUUCAGAUCAAGAUGUAGAUAAUAAUUAAAAUUUAAGAUGGAUUACAAUAUAAAAAUAUAAAUGGAAAAUAAUUUUGUAAUAAGUAUUAGAAAGUGGAUUUAAAUGUAAUUUUAAAUAAUUUUUUAAAAUGAUUAAAAAUUAAAAUAUGUACAUAUUGCCCGUCACUUUCAUUUUAAAAUUGAAAUAAGUCGUAACAAAGUAGAAGUACUGGAAAGUGUUUCUAGAAAGA
rnacentral:ncRNA from 1 species